AGCUGGAAAUACACUCUGAAGAACAGCUCGACCACGGAGGAAUAAAUGCAAACGUAAAGCUAGAGUCAGAGCUCUGCUUUUAGGUUACACUCCACGGAACUUGUGGUUAGAACCAGACUUGCACAGUUUAGAUGCAAAGAAAGUUGAGAGAAAAGCUGCCUCAGUAAAUUCAUUGUGAGAUCAAGCACAUAAGAAACCAGACAGCAGAAUAUAUAAGUGGAGGAACAGCUUCAAAAACCUCCAUUCAGACGCAUUCAGGAGAUGGGAUACAACUGUCCGGAUCAUCGGGUCAAGAAACAUCUGAGUCUGGACCAACAGAGGAGAGUCUCAUCUGGGCCAAGAAGAGGAAGGACUGGACUGUUGGGGGUGGUCCAAUGUUAAGGUCUUGUUUUCUGAUGAAAAUAAAGUAUCUUUCAUUUGGGAAUCAAGGUCCAAGGGUUUAGAGGAAGACUUGGGAGGAGCAGAGCCAGCUGAUAGUGAAAUCACCACAGUCAGUCAGGAUCUGUGCCUCAAUGUCCAGCACUGGUGUUGGAAAACUCUGCUUUCUUCAAUCCAUGAUCACUGCAACAGUCAAAGUUCUAGAGCACUUCAUAAUUCCUUCUGCUGAGGAUCUGGGUGGAGAUGCAGAUUUCAUCUUCCAGAUGAACUUGGCCCUAGUCCCAUCUAUUGAAGUAAUGAAGAUGCACAAAUAAUUUUGGUAAAACUUUAUUCUGCAGUUGACAUGACUGUGUGUAGAUUGUACGUUAGCAUAGCAAAGCUAACACGGGACCUAAAGUUUAAGAGAGGAAAAGCUGCUGAAACAGUGGGAGUUUCCAAACCUGGCUUCUAUUAAAUUGGUAGGUAAUGAUCCUGUUAAGGAAUCUGAAGUAGUGCUGGGCGAUGUGAACAUAGAUAUUGUGUAGGUCACAUGUGUCAAAGUCAAGUCCCGGGGGCCGGAUCCGGCCUAGCAGGUAAUUCUAUCCUGCCCUCCAGAUCAUUUUAUUUUAUUGUUAUUACUGGCCCAAUGUUAUCUUGCACUCAUGUCUAACUUGUAUACUUCUGACAAAAUAAUAUAUUUUUAUGGAGAGUAAAAUAUUGAGAGUUAUUUGAGGUUUAAGUUGAUUUAUUCUGAAAUAAUAUUCCUGUCUGCUUUUAUUCAUAAUGAUGUUACAAAGUUAUGGUUUUAAAGUUUUAAAAAUGUUGUUGUAGUGGGUUCAAUAUAUGUUUAUCCUGUUCCGUCCGCGACCUAAGUUGUGUUUUUGGAUUUUUGUGUUUAACACCCCUGGUGUAGGCAAUAGAGAUGUGUAUUGGGCUAUUUUUCUUCUAUCCUUAUUAUUUUUUUUAUUUUAAUUGCUGACAUUUGGUGCAAAAAAUGUGUUUUCCUACAAAGAAACUUAAAACUGUUGUGCACUUUAAAACAUGUUUUGCAUU